AAUGAUAGUUUUGACGCUUUUUCAUUAUAAAUUAUAUGAAAUUUUUUCUACACCCAAAAAGGCCCUAUAACCUCUGCAGUAGAUCCCACUGCAGAGGUUAUAGGGCC
rnacentral:ncRNA from 1 species